UCGGUGGCAGAACCUGCAGGCUAGGUGGGCGACUCUUCUCCCUGGAUCAACGGACUUGAGGACCUCAGCUCCAUCGGAGUGAGGAGGACCUUGGAGUCCCGCACUCUGGCCUUCGCCACCUUCAACAGCGCAAGACGGUGGACCCGCGGGCGCACAGGCGACCCCACGAGCAGGUGGGCACCCCUGAGCCCGGUUGCUGCGGACUGGAUGUCCCCCCUUCCAGGCCUCUGGGUGGCAGUGUAGAAGCCAAAUCGGGAGCUUCUAGCAGUGGUUUCUAAAAAAUAAGUUGAAUGUACAUGAGUAAGCAAGCACAGGAAUCUGAAAAACCACAGGUCAAGCUGUAGAACAUGUCUGGUGUGCCAGAAGAUUUCCUCCUGCCCCCCCUUCUCAUCAUUUGUCUACCUCCAAUAUGAAGGUAACCACAUUAUGAUUUAAAAAAAAAAGACUACAUCUACUAAUUUUAUCCACUUUUAAGCUCCGAUAGAUGAUAUGGUAGGAGCUCUUUGUGCAUGUCAUUUUUUAUUUAACCAAAUAUCUGUACAAUUUAUGUGAUCAUAUGGAUCAGAAGUUCUUUCUGAUCUGUUGUAGAGUAGUAAUUAUGUGGAUAUGCUACAAUUUAUUUAUCUCUUUCCCAAUUAUAUCUUUGGGUCAUUUCCAGUUUUUGGGUGUGAAUAAAACAGCUGUGAACAUUUUUGCUUAUGUC